UAGGGAAUCUUCGGCAAUGGACGGAAGUCUGACCGAGCAACGCCGCGUGAGUGAAGAAGGUUUUCGGAUCGUAAAGCUCUGUUGUUAGAGAAGAACGUUGGUAGGAGUGGAAAAUCUACCAAGUGACGGUAACUAACCAGAAAGGGACGGCUAACUACGUGCCAGCAGCCGCGGUAAUACGUAGGUCCCGAGCGUUGUCCGGAUUUAUUGGGCGUAAAGCGAGCGCAGGCGGUUCUUUAAGUCUGAAGUUAAAGGCAGUGGCUUAACCAGUGUACGCUUUGGAAACUGGAGGACUUGAGUGCAGAAGGGGAGAGUGGAAUUCCAUGUGUAGCGGUGAAAUGCGUAGAUAUAUGGAGGAACACCGGUGGCGAAAGCGGCUCUCUGGUCUGUAACUGACGCUGAGGCUCGAAAGCGUGGGGAGCAAACAGG
rnacentral:rRNA from 1 species